AGAGUUUGAUCCUGGCUCAGGACGAACGCUGGCGGCGUGCCUAAUACAUGCAAGUCGAACGAAGCUUUCUUUCACCGAAUGCUUGCAUUCACCGAAAGAAGCUUAGUGGCGAACGGGUGAGUAACACGUAGGCAACCUGCCCAAAAGAGGGGGAUAACACUUGGAAACAGGUGCUAAUACCGCAUAACCAUGAACACCGCAUGAUGUUCGUGUAAAAGACGGCUUUUGCUGUCACUUUUGGAUGGGCCUGCGGCGUAUUAACUUGUUGGUGGGGUAACGGCCUACCAAGGUGAUGAUACGUAGCCGAACUGAGAGGUUGAUCGGCCACAUUGGGACUGAGACACGGCCCAAACUCCUACGGGAGGCAGCAGUAGGGAGUCUUCCACAAUGGACGAAAGUCUGAUGGAGCAACGCCGCGUGAAUGAAGAAGGCCUUCGGGUCGUAAAAUUCUGUUGUCAGAGAAGAAUGUGCGUGAGAGUAACUGUUCACGUAUUGACGGUAUCUGACCAGAAAGCCACGGCUAACUACGUGCCAGCAGCCGCGGUAAUACGUAGGUGGCAAGCGUUGUCCGGAUAUAUUGGGCGUAAAGGGAACGCAGGCGGUCUUUUAAGUCUGAUGUGAAAGCCUUCGGCUUAACCGAAGUAGUGCAUUGGAAACUGGAAGACUUGAGUGCAGAAGAGGAGAGUGGAACUCCAUGUGCAGCGGUGAAAUGCGUAGAUAUAUGGAAGAACACCAGUGGCGAAAGCGGCUCUCUGGUCUGUAACUGACGCUGAGGUUCAAAAGCGUGGGUAGCAAACAGGAUUAGAUACCCUGGUAGUCCACGCCGUAAACGAUGAGUGCUAAGUGUUGGAGGGUUUCCGCCCUUCAGUGCUGCAGCUAACGCAUUAAGCACUCCGCCUGGGGAGUACGGUCGCAAGACUGAAACUCAAAGGAAUUGACGGGGGCCCGCACAAGCGGUGGAGCAUGUGGUUUAAUUCGAAGCAACGCGAAGAACCUUACCAGGUCUUGACAUCUUCUGACAAUUCCAGAGAUGGAACGUUCCCUUCGGGGACAGAAUGACAGGUGGUGCAUGGUUGUCGUCAGCUCGUGUCGUGAGAUGUUGGGUUAAGUCCCGCAACGAGCGCAACCCUUAUUGUCAGUUGCCAUCAUUAAGUUGGGCACUCUGGCGAGACUGCCGGUGACAAACCGGAGGAAGGUGGGGAUGACGUCAAAUCAUCAUGCCCCUUAUGACCUGGGCUACACACGUGCUACAAUGGACGGUACAACGAGUCGCUAACUCGCGAGGGCAAGCUAAUCUCUUAAAGCCGUUCUCAGUUCGGAUUGCAGGCUGCAACUCGCCUGCAUGAAGUCGGAAUCGCUAGUAAUCGCGAAUCAGCAUGUCGCGGUGAAUACGUUCCCGGGCCUUGUACACACCGCCCGUCACACCAUGAGAGUUUGUAACACCCAAAGUCGGUGGGGUAACCUUUUGGAGCCAGCCGCCUAAGGUGGGACAGAUGAUUGGGGUGAAGUCGAAACAAGGUA
rnacentral:rRNA from 1 species